rnacentral:lncRNA from 1 species
UCAAUUCUAUAAGUGGAAAUCGGAGGCUAUGGUUAAGUGAACAGAAAUAGAAUUGACAACCUAAAUGCGUCAACAUCCAUGAAAAGUGACAUCAGCAGAUUCGGUGUGCUAUUGCUUUUUUUUAAAGGAUAGACAAGAAACUAAAAUGGAAAAAGUGAACUCUGGAAGACUGGAGAUGUUUUUCCACAUUUAAGUGAGCUGCGGGGGAAGAUGCCUCCUUCUGAAGACAAUUUCAGAGAAAUUCAGACCAGCCAUAAGCGCCCACUUACCAUCACUCUGCUUUAUGAGCAUCAGGGAGCAUCUAUCUUCAAUCCACUAGGAGCAGAGAAUGCUGAUUUGGAAACCUGAUACCUGUGACAUGACACUCCUUCAGGUGAUAGAUCCUAAAGACAUUUAACUCUGAAAUCAAACCAAGAACUGUGCCAUGAAUAAUAAUAUUUGUUAUGGAAAGAUAUGCAUCAAAUACCCUUGUACAUAUGCAUAAGGAAAACAUUUAGUAUUGAUAUUUGAGCACAUAGAACUUGCUAUAGAAUUUGUCAGUGUAUUC